rnacentral:rRNA from 1 species
UACGGGGGGGGCAAGCGUUGUUCGGAAUUACUGGGCGUAAAGGGCUCGUAGGCGGCCAACUAAGUCGGAUGUGAAAUCCCCAAGCUUAACUUGGGAACUGCAUCCGAUACUGGAUGGCUUGGAUUUGGGAGAGGGAUGCGGAAUUCCAGGUGUAGCGGUGAAAUGCGUAGAUAUCUGGAGGAACACCGGUGGCGAAGGCGGCAUCCUGGACCAAUAUUGACGCUGAGGAGCGAAAGCCAGGGGAGCAAACGGG